rnacentral:rRNA from 1 species
GAUGAACGCUAGCGGCAGGCUUAACACAUGCAAGUCGAGGGGCAGCACGUCUUCGGAUGGUGGCGACCGGCGCACGGGUGCGUAACGCGUAUAGAACCUACCUUUUACAGGGGAAUAGCCCAGAGAAAUUUGGAUUAAUGCCCCAUAGUAUUAUUAGAUGGCAUCAUUUGGUAAUUAAACAUUUAUGGGUAAAAGAUGGCUAUGCGUUCUAUUAGCUAGAUGGUAAGGUAACGGCUUACCAUGGCGACGAUAGAUAGGGGUCCUGAGAGGGAGAUCCCCCACACUGGUACUGAGACACGGACCAGACUCCUACGGGAGGCAGCAGUGAGGAAUAUUGGACAAUGGGCGAGAGCCUGAUCCAGCCAUGCCGCGUGCAGGAAGACGGUCCUCUGGGGUUGUAAAACUGCUUUUUCUACGGGGAAUAAACCCCCUUUAGUGUAAAAGGGCUGAAGGUACCGUAGGAAUAAGCACCGGCUAACUCCGUGCCAGCAGCCGCGU